GUGUCAGCCGCCGCGGUAAUACGUAGGGUGCGAGCGUUAAUCGGAAUUACUGGGCGUAAAGCGUGCGCAGGCGGUUUUGUAAGCCAGAUGUGAAAUCCCCGGGCUUAACCUGGGAAUGGCAUUUGGGACUGCAAGGCUGGAGUUUGGCAGAGGAGACUGGAAUUCCCGGUGUAGCAGUGAAAUGCGUAGAUAUCGGGAGGAAUACCGAUGGCGAAGGCAGGUCUCUGGGCUAUAACUGACGCUCAUGCACGAAAGCGUGGGGAGCAAACAGGAUUAGAAACCCCCGUAGUCC
rnacentral:rRNA from 1 species